GAUGAACGCUGGCGGCGUGCUUAACACAUGCAAGUCGAGCGAGAAGUUUUGAAAAGAUUCUUCGGAUGAAAUUUAAAAUGGAAAGCGGCGGACGGGUGAGUAACGCGUAGGCAACCUGCCCCAUACAAAGGGAUAGCAUUUGGAAACGAAUAUUAAUACCUUAUGAAACUUAACUAGUGCAUGCCAGGUAGGUCAAAGAUUUAUCGGUAUGGGAUGGGCCUGCGUCUGAUUAGCUAGUUGGUGAGGUAACGGCUCACCAAGGCGACGAUCAGUAGCCGACCUGAGAGGGUGAACGGCCACAUUGGAACUGAGACACGGUCCAAACUCCUACGGGAGGCAGCAGUGGGGAAUAUUGCACAAUGGGGGAAACCCUGAUGCAGCAACGCCGCGUGAACGAUGAAGGCCUUUGGGUCGUAAAGUUCUGUUCUAGGUGAUGAAAACUGACAGUAACCUAGGAGAAAGCCCCGGCUAACUCCGUG
rnacentral:rRNA from 1 species